rnacentral:misc_RNA from 1 species
AACAGCCAGCAUCAUCGUCCUUUUCCGCUUAGAUUCGGCCAAUCGGCGUUUGUUUCGCUCCCAAGUUCUGUCCGUGUUUAGUCGUGUGAGAGUCGUCGUGUGGUUCGUGCGUCGUAAAUGUGUGCCGUCUUCGCGCGCGGAAUCGGGUGUUGUGAUACGCAAAUAAAAAUCUAACGAAUUAAUAUCUGUUAUCCAACAAACGCGCAAACGUUCACAAGUUGUCAAAUAUCCCCGAACAGUGGAUGGUUAGUGAUUUUUUAAAUAAUAUCUGUUGAGUGGUUUUAUUCGUGUGAAUAGUUUUUGACGGUUAUACGAAAGUGUUUCAUUUAUCCCAAACAAAGUUUGUAGUGUGUGAUAGUUCCAGGGGGUCAUUCUCUCGUCCACCAAGUGCCAUUUGUUGUCGAUCUUGUUGGGAUUCGUGGUGCCUGAAAUCCUGGAUAUGGGUAAAUAACUAUUAACUAAAUCCCGUCCAAGUCGUAUGAUAGUAAUCGAGACGACAGACGGCGUAUAUAAACGUGUCUGAGCGGCGUGAAGGUCGGUCAUUGGUGAAAAAAGGAGGGAAAACGUUACACGACCGCCAGGUGUCUGGUCUGUUUACAAUCCGUUUGGCGGUUGUACACAUGAGGAAGCGGCGUUCUCGAUCCUGCGAUCUGAUGGAUAAAUUAUUCUCAUCAUGAUCGUUCGUUACCCCAACGACAACGGUCGAAUUUAACCUUGAAAGCAUAUCCACAAACCCGGUGUCCCAUCCUCAGCUAGAAAAUUCCCUUCCCGACCCUCACCCCGUGCAAGUGGGAGAUUGAAUAAUUCCGAAGGUGGUGUUUACACACAUGUGAAAAGGAAAGGAGGAAAAUCAAAAUGGAGACCGUCGCCGAUUCGAAUUCUUCUAAAAUAGGGGAGACGCCGCACGUGACAUGCCACAAAAAGCGUGUCUCUUCUAUGCAGUGUAAUAGCGUCGGUGCAACAAUUUCGAGUUUACCCGGUCGAAUGAAUACGAGGGCUUCUUCUUCUUAUCUGAGUUCGGACAGCGGGUACAUAUCUUUCACCCCAAGUUCUGCUAGUCCCGCCGUUUACACGCCUGUAACGAAUACGACAGGUUGUCGUUUACGUUCAUCCGGUAAUUGUUCGUCGGCGAGCGGUGAAAAAAAGAUCGACUCUGCCGCCAUCGUAAAACGUCGACACCGGUUGAGAAAUCCCGAACCGUUUUACUCGGAGAGAGCCUCUAGGUUCAGGUCUAAAUUGAACCAAAAAUUAGACGCCACUUCCGAAACCCCCUCGAAUUCCAAAUCAAAGAAUCCCAAUCGGCGCUCUCCCGGCUACCGAAACAAUUCCAUCAACAACGGCAACAAUGACCCCGGUUCCGAACUCGAUGGAUUGCUCAAAGCGAGACUCCGGAGUGCCGACGUCCAAAAAACCUCCGUACCAACAACACCUGCUUCAAGAUUACAGCUGCUAUCUUCUCCACCCUCGCCGGCGAUCCCAUCGCUUUCGUUCGUUGCUACAGAACCGAUCGAAGAUGUCGAAAUGAAUCUAGUCAUCGUCUCUCAAAGUACACCUCACAUUUUACCAACGUCACCGACAACCAGUAGACAAAUGCAUGGACCGGUUGGUUGUGGAUCUUCGAUUGAAAGUCGCAACAAGCUUAGCAAGCUCGUGAUAACGGACGUAUCGAAGCUUGACAUGAAACCCAAGAGGCUUAAUUUCACCGAGAGACCAAAGUUCGAAGGAAUAAGAAGAACCAGAGCCCUUCCGUAUUGCGCGGGAAAAGGUUGCGUUGAUUUUUUAACGAUAUUGGGCGAACAGAGCGAUCACUGGAGAGUUGUAUCGAAAAUUCUGUCGCUUUUGAGCCCGCAGGAUUUGUGCGCGAUUAGCAUGGUUUCGAAACCUUGGAGAAGAAUAUGUGCGCGUGAUUCUAGAGCGAACAUCAGAAGGCUUCGCCACAUCAUGAUCAGGCAAAACGCUAAGGAGAAUCUCAAAUUGAUCGCAAAAGCGAAGGCUGACGGAGAGGCCAUUGCCGCUAGUCCUAAGAGCAGAUAUUCAAGAAAGGGAUUCUUGGUAGAGGUCCAAAAUUUACUUCAAGCACCCGAAAGUCCAGCUGCCAUAAUCACCAACAGUCCACCUGUAUCACCCAGCAAAGUCAAGUUUCACUCAUUCGUCAAGGCAGGUCGUACGUUGGAGCCGUCGGAGCACCUGUUGCGUUGUCCUCGUUGUUUGUUCGCCUGUCAAAUAAACGAAGAAAAAAAUACAGCUUCAUGUUCUCGUCAGGGUUGUUCGAUGGAGUUUUGUAUUUUAUGUUCAUCUCGUCACACCGGUCCAUGUAAAAUGGCGUUGUUAGCGACGCCAACGAAGAAAAACGCUAAACGAUUAAUUGUUGGAUCGAGACAGAGUAAAAGAAAUCUCCGAAGAUUAUAAUAUAAUUAUAAUGAUGACAAUCGUAAUAAUCGUAAUACUAAUAUCAACAACGAUAGUAAAGCUUGAAGAACAGUCCGCCAUCGAACGAAAAUUGUAAAAAAUGUGUAAAGGAUUUUGAAAAAAUUGACAGAACGAAAUACACCGGGAGGAAAGAUUUUUUUAUUUGUGCCUCCUGGAAAACACGAAAUUUGGAUACCGCUUUCGAUAAAAAAAUACAACAAUGUUCAUCGCUUUUGAAGCUAGAUUGAUAUUAGAAGAAACUGAAAUAAUCUUUCUUCUUUGAUCAUCUGAAACGGCAUUUCUGUGAUAUGCAUGUUUAUCAUUCCAGUGUGCGCUAUAUUUAAAAUUAAUGUGUUCUCGUGUUCGUUCGUCGUGAAUUUUAGAAACCUUCACAAUUAGACGCACAGUAAUUUUAAUCAAACAAUACCUAAUCAAAAACACGAAGAGGAUAAAAACAUUUGUGAAUGGAAUUUGAAAAUCAACUAGGGUAAAUCAUAAGAACGCGAGUAAAAAUUAAAACGAAAAGAAAAGGAAAUCGUAUCAGUGAUACAGAAACUCUAUUUUUUCCAUGUUGCGCGAGCGAUGGGAAAAAAUAAAACGAAAACAAAAAAUUUCUCUGCUUUAAAUUUUCAUACCAGUUAUAGUUAUUAUUAAGUUAAAUUUUAUAAGUCGGCAUCCACAGAUUACCACACAUAAUAUAUUAUACUUGAGUAUUAAAAGAAUUUUCAGCGUAACCAUGAUGAUCGGUUAUAAAUCUACACGGGAUAGUUUAUGAUAGUUUUUUAAUAUUUAUAUAACAAAGGCGAUUCUCAAAAUUAGGAUAUAAAUUUAUGGUAUGUAGCGAAAAAAAGUUUUAUACGUAAACCUAUUUAUAUAUAUAUUUUUUUUUUAAAGAAAUUAAUUAUUUUAAUAACUAGUAUUAUGCAUAGUAUAUUAUACCCAUAAGUAAUUUUAAGAUAAUUCGCGAAAUACAAUAACCUGCAGGUAAUAUUUUUUUCAUGUGUUAUUUGCAUCGCGCCUCGUGAUGAAUUUGAUGAGCCAUUGUGAAUGCUAGUGCGUAAUUAUUUGUGCAGGUUAGAAAUAUUUUUACGUAUUGAAAUUUUAUUAAAGAAAAAAUUCAUAAUGUGAUCGUUUCUAUCGCAGACAGCUCUUGCGAUAGAAGAUUUCUUUUUCUGAUAAUCAUCGAUGAAAGACCGCAAUAAAAAUCCCUCGAUUAUCGUGUUCAAUGUUGAAACCGUUUAUUCCAAAAUUUAAUUACCUGUUUAUUAGAAUAAAAGAAGGAAAAACGCCCUGAUUAUUUAUCCAUUGCAUGCGGUUGGAAAUACAUUAGAUCCGGAGAGAAAAGUGAAACAUAAUGAUGAAAAGUAAGAUGUCGCCGACUCGAGCACCAUGAUAAAAUGAUUCUGCACAGUUCUCCUUGAAUAUUUUAAUUCAACAUUUUGAAAAUUAAAUUUUCUGAAAUUGCCAGGGGCGCGGAAAAGGUUCAUCUCCUGUUUUUCCUUUUCUUUCGGGUUAUCAUAACGUACGCUGAGUACCAUUUUGGAUAUCAAUUACGCGUUGCUUUCUUAUAAGAAAAAAAUUUCAACCGCGAUCAUACAUUCCCUCAUAGAUUUUUCGUCUUUAUUAAUAUUAUCGGUCAUACGGUUUUUACUAUAAAGACGCUCAUUCCUUUCUUACUUGUGACGUGUCAAAUAACCUGAGUCUUGCCAACGCUGUUCAGUUUUGCUACUGGAUAGAGAUAUUUGAUCAGAUAUGAUUAUCGGCCAUGUAUUUCUUUGCACGUACACAUCGUUUUUUUCUUCAGUCAUAUUAAUUCGUAGAGUUCGCAGGUUCUAAUACUCACUCUCAGGAUAAUAUCUAGGCAGAAGCUUUUCCUUUCGUUUCUAGCAGAGCUUAGUCAUUUAUAAACGAUGUAAAAAUUUUUUAGUGUUCAAAUGAAAAUAAGGUGAUACCAAAUAAAUGGCAUUGUGAAACGGAACGUUCAAAAAGUUAUGAUUUUUCCUUUAUUUUGUUGUACAGUUGAGGAUUAUCUUUAAGUCUCCGUAUUCUGGCUCGUCUAUCUUAAAAAAAAAAA